rnacentral:lncRNA from 1 species
CCCUAAAGAUCAAAGGGCACCCCGCACCUCCAUAGCAGACACCGGACGAGUCAAGGCCUCAUUCUCCUAAUCGAAGACGUGGGUCGCAGGUUGGGCCCCUCAAAGUGGAAAGUCCUCGCUAAAUGCCGCUAUCUAGCAUGAUCUGAAGAACUAGAAGAUCAGUCCUCUAUCCCCACUAUCAUCCACCAUGGCACCAUUGCUCCCCUGCAGCUGUCU